UCUUGAAAUUUUACUGUUUAG
rnacentral:piRNA from 1 species